ensembl:lncRNA
ACCUUCCAGCCAGCUCCUACUAUAAGAGAGAGGGAGAGAGAUGACGAGAGAGAAGAGGCUUACGGUACAUGACCCCUGUCCAUGUGAUACUGAACACUGUAGAUGUCUUUAUGAUUUACAUUCAUUCACUGGGACAAAGCACCUAGCAGAGAAAACAGACCACAACACACACACAGUACCCAUGUGUUCAGACCUCACUUAAAUGUCUUCUGACCUCACAAUUCUUCCGACCACUCAAAUGUCUUCUGACCUCACUUAAAUGUCUUCACAGACCUCACUUAAAUGUCUUCUGACCUCACUUAAAUGUCUUCUGACCUCACUUAAAUGUCUUCACAGACCUCACUUAAAUGUCUUCACAGACCUCACUUAACUGUCUUCACAGACCUCACUUAAAUGUCUUCACAGACUCACUUAAAUGUCUUCAGACUCACUUAGUACCUCACUUAAAUGACCAUGUCGGUCAUUGACAGAAAAGGUGGCAUUGGUUUCUGGGCUGAUAUGUAUUCACAACAGCUCAGUAGUAGAGCUGUGCUGAUUUAGGAUAGUUGUCCCUGUCCCGGAUCACUUAAAGGUCUGGGCCCAUAUGCAUUCACACAACCAGCUCAGUAGUAGAAGCUGUGCUGAUUUAGGAUCAGUUGUCCCUGUCCGGACCACUUAAAGGGAAUGGAUAUGUGCUUGUCUUAUUAAGAGGAAUGUGUGUUUUCUCUGAGGUCUCUGACCCAUUUGAGGGAGAGGACUUAGGGGUAUUCAGCCUGAGAGGAGAUUAACAUGGUGUUUGGGGGAUAGCAGGAGCUGACCGUGUAAAGUCCGGGACAGGGUUUAGUAAAGCAGGUUAAAGCUGUCAACCUCGGUUUCCCUCCUGAAGAUCACCAUGAUACAUGCAGAAUGUGAGCCGUCUUUAUUCAUUCUCUCUCAACCCUGCGGUCUCCCCUCUAAACCUCAGGUCUCACUCCCUCUAAACCUACAGGUCUCACUCCCUCUAAACCUGCAGGUCUCACUCCCUCUAAACCUGCAGUCUCACUCCCUCUAAAACCUGCAGGUCUCACUCCCUCUAAACCUGCAGGUCUCACUCCCUCUAAACCUGCAGGUCUCACUCCCUCUAAACCUGCAGGUCUCACUCCCUCUAAACCUACAGGAUCUCACUCCCUCUUAAACCUACAGGUCUCACUCCCUCUAAACCUACAGGUCUCACUCCCUCUAAACUACAUCCUCACUCCCUCUAACUGCAGGUCUCACUCCUCUAAACCUACAGGUCUCACUCCCUCUAAACCUACAGGUCUCACUCCUCUCUAA